CAGCAGAUCAAAGCCCAAAACGAAAAAAAAAAAAACAGAAAACAGAGGAAUUCAGAACCGGGAAGAAGACUCCCGAUAGGAGUCUCCUUCUCCGGCUAAAUCCGAGCAAGAAUCGAACUCCUAAGACCCCUCGGAGUCCUAGGAGUUCCUAUAAGAAGACCCCCUCUCUUUAAAAUCGAUCCAUCGACUCUUUUCCCCUCUUUUUCUCUCCGAUUUUUCCAAAGAAGAGCCGCGGGCACAGUUGGGUUCUCGCCGUGUUUUCUCUCCGACGAGGUCCCAAGAGGCCGAGGUAAGUUCUUCUCUUUUUCCUCCCUUCCUUCCUCUUUCCCCCGUGCGUUUGUGCGCGGUGGCCGGCGACGAACAUCGUCGAUUUUUGAUCGGGAAAAGACUGUUUUUGGGGCUUAUUUUUCAUGAAAUCUCCGGCGCCGGCGAUCGGAAUUGACCGCCGGCCCUGUUUCCUCCGUGACCGGGGGAGAUGGCCCGUCGGCCGCCGGCCUCCGCCGUGGUGGCUACGGCCCGAACGACCGUUCAAGGCCUGAGGACCAAGAGUCCUCUGUUCCGGCACGGGAAGAAGAAGAAGAAGAAGGAAAAGAAAAAGAAAA
rnacentral:lncRNA from 1 species